AGUGAACGCUGGCGGUAGGCCUAACACAUGCAAGUCGAACGGCAGCACAGUAAGAGCUUGCUCUUACGGGUGGCGAGUGGCGGACGGGUGAGGAAUACAUGGAAUUCUUCUUUUUCGGGGGGGCUAACGUAGGAAAAUUUCCGCUAACACCGCAUAUAACCUCCGGGGGAAAGCAGGGGAUCUUCGGACUUUUCGGGAUUGAAUAAGCCGAUGUCGGAUUAGCUAGUUGGCGGGGUAAAGGCCCAACAAGGCGACGAUCCGUAGAUGGUCUGAGAGGAUGAUCAGCCAGACUGGAACUGAGACACGGCCCAGACUCCUACGGGAGGCAGCAGUGGGGAAUCUUGGACAAUGGGCGAAAGCCUGAUCCAGCCAUACCGCGUGGGUGAAGAAGGACUUCGGGUUGUAAAGCCCUUUUGUUGGGAAAGAAAAGCAGCAGGUUAAUACCCCGCUGUUCUGACGGUACCCAAAGAAUAAGCACCGGCUAACUUCGUG
rnacentral:rRNA from 1 species